rnacentral:rRNA from 1 species
UACGUAGGGUGCAAGCGUUGUCCGGAAUUAUUGGGCGUAAAGAGCUCGUAGGCGGCCUGUCACGUCGACUGUGAAAACCCAGGGCUCAACCCUGGGCCUGCAGUCGAUACGGGCAGGCUAGAGUGUGGUAGGGGAGACUGGAAUUCCUGGUGUAGCGGUGAAAUGCGCAGAUAUCAGGAGGAACACCGGUGGCGAAGGCGGGUCUCUGGGCCAUAACUGACGCUGAGGAGCGAAAGCGUGGGGAGCGAACAGG